UAUUAAGAAUUUUACUGUAUUUAAUUGUUAUUUGGUCAGGCAGUUCUUAAGACAGCUAAGGGGCCUGUAUGCAAAGACCCCUUUUUCGCGCUCGAAACGCAGACACACAUCCGGAACUCAGCGGACAAGCAGGCACACAUCAUCCGGACCGGUGCUUACACCGAAAUACUAAGUUUCUGUACACUGAGUGAGGUAAGUUAAAAUAUUAUGUUACAUCCAAUAAUUAUGGAACGCUGCAGAUUAUGUACUGUACAGUGGUCUAUAUUUUUUGAUUUGUGUUAUUUAUUUCUGUCUUACAUCUUCAUAAACUAAAGUUACAUUAUUUUGUACAACAGACGCUUAAUAUAAUAACAAAAUCUACUAUUUAUGGUGUUAUGUCAUCGUGCCAUUUCUGUCUCUACAUGGUCACGCCAUGGUCUCCUCUGCUCUCUGUAUGGCGCACGGCGGAGUUCCGCCACACACACAGCAUGUCCUUGUACAGCAUUGUGGAAUUCAUCAAUGAGACACAUGAUGGACAGUUCGCAAUGGACAUCAUUCCAUCAUGUUGGUUGACUGAAGAACAGAACAAGUGUUUUUGGCCAUCAGGCCAUAAUGUGACUAGGGCUGUAAAGGAGCGACAACAGCCACAUGAGUGCCGAAAUACACUGUCCGAGUAAUUGGAUGGGCAGACACAUUUGAAGCUGCUAGAAAGAAGUGUAGAAGAGCAGAGGCUUCAUCAGAUUUACAGACAGACAAUGAGAUGCCUGCAAAGCGAAAAAGAAGGUGUUACAGCUGGGAUAGGCUCCAGCCCCCCCCGCGACCCUCAAGAGGAUGAAGCAGUUAGAAGAUGAAUGAAUGGCAGGUACCUUUGAGCCCCCAUGGAACCAUGAGGGUGAGCAGCCCAAAUGGGACAGGGAAAGUGAGAAGCCCCCAUGGAUCCCAGAGAGUAACCAGGGUCAGCCCACCUGGAUUGAGAGGGACCCCAAGAUUGAGUGGCCCCAGUUUGACUUCAAGUGACAGCAGCCCCUGUGUGUCCCCCACAUUUAGUGGCCUUAGUAUGACCCAGAGUGACAGCAGCCCGUGUGUCUCCCGGCUCCAGUACUGCCCCGAGUGUGAGUAGCCCCAUUGCAGCCCCACAACGCAUUGUUAACACGUUUAUUUUGAUAAAUAUUGAAAUCAUGAUUAUUAUUCAUGAAUAUUCAUUAAUUUUAGGGAAAACAUAUUUGUAUUGCACUCUAAUUAAAAUUCUAAAUUAUAUUGGGCCUCUCUAUCUUCCACUCUGCCACUAGCCUGGUUCCAGACCAUAGACCCCGCCCACUCAACUGAGUAGGCUUGCAUCUCUGGUCUGGCAUACUGCAAUGAAUUUGCGAUUUAUCUCGUCCAAACGCUGGACGGACCAAUGAACACCGGGGGUCUAGCGAUUAGCCAAUCAGCGCCACGCUGAUGUCAAGCUGUACGCCGGUGGGUAACUGGUGAGGAUAGCAACAAUGGCGACCGCUACAGAUCCUACAGACCACAUUCACGAUGCUAUCGAGGUAUUUCGCCACUACUUGCGUUAAUGGAGGACCAAAUUAAGGAAGCUGCUAAACUGGAUUUAACGGUGAUGCAGCUGGGCGUGCACGACGACGGAGACAUUUUAAACGGGCAAUGCUGGCUUGUUUUCGGCACCCCCGAGGCAUGGAUACUAAUGACGUAAGAUUCUGGGUGAGUCAUUGAUCUCUACUGAUUGGUUAGGGAAAAAUCAAAUUCCCUCCCCCUUGUAAAUCGCCUUCAAUGGAAGCCAUGUCAGACUGAAGGUUCGGGGAGCUUCAGUCUGACACUCAGGCUACUCUGCCACUGCUUCUGUACCUGCAUCCAGAUUUGUACCUGUGUGACUCUCAUAGAGGGGGCGUGUCUGCAGCACAGGGCUUCUCAUCUCCAACGCUGUGAUCAGUGUUGCCAGUUUAACAACUUUUCAGACCCCUUUAGACAUAUGUAGUGACUUUUUAAACAUACAUGCUUUCCUUGAAGGGAGUCGCCAGUAUUUCUCAGUGAAUGAGAACUAACGUGUCUCUCUGACUGACUGCUCCGUGGGUGAGAGAUCAGCAGCACGUCAGCCAGACACAGAUGUGAAUGUCCUCCUACCUAACGAUCAAUCGGCCAAAAUGCUCACAUACAUUACAUUUAAAUAAUGGAGAAGGUUUUUCCAAGUUAUUCUGCUCCUCCGCUACCGCUGCACUUAAUGUGGAUUGAACAUGCGCCCUUUCACGUGAAGUUAGAAACUUACCUUUUUUAGCUACAGGGACAUGCUGCAAACAGCUGCACCAUUCCAAGAAGCACUCUGGUAAGAUUGUAUCCCUUUCACAGGCCAUAUAAUUCCCCCAGGAACUUGAGUGUCUUUUUGAAGAGACUUGAAGUAAUCCAUCAUGAUAAAAUCCAAAAUUGAAGGUCCUCUGUAAUGAUUGUCAGUGUUGGGGGUAACGCGUUAGUUUUAGGCAGUAACAGAGUAAUACAGGUUACUCACUGUAUUUUGGUAAUAUUAUUACAGUUACAGAGUCCGGUAACGCGCUUCAAUCCGAACUGUCACACAGGCUGUCAGUCUGUCAGUCGCACAGGCUGUGGGACACCUCAGGCGCAACAGACGUAAA